GACCUACCAUCUGACUCCAAAUCAGCAACACUACCACUCCCUUGAGUUGUGAUCAUCCCACUAGACUGCGGUGAUACCAGCGGAUUAUGAUGAUCUAGCUUGGCAACGUUCAUCUCAAUAUCUGACAUUCGGAGCGACAAGAGUCUUUUGUCCAGGGACGAUGCACUGAAACUAUUCCAAUAGUUGUUACAAGAAAUGGGAUUUGGUAAACGGAAAUGGGGUUUGAAGGAUUUGGAUUUAUGGCGACAAAUAUAAAUGAUGCAGAGAAAAAUAACGAUGAGAAUGAUCACAGUGAAGGGUAGAAUGAAAGCAACUAAAAUAACCCAUAAUCUAAUGCCAAAGAAUGAGGUAUGCUUUGAUAGAUUUCUGCUAGAAGAUUCGUGGAAGGACAUGAUUACAGAGAGAGAGAGAGAGGUGAGUUAAGAUGUGAGCUCCAUGGAAAU
rnacentral:misc_RNA from 1 species